rnacentral:rRNA from 1 species
AACGGCAGCGCGGGAGCAAUCCUGGCCGGCGAGUGGCGAACGGGUGAGUAAUACAUCGGAACGUGUGCUGUACUGGGGGAUAGGCCGGCGAAAGCCGGAUUAAUACCGCAUACGAUCUACGGAUGAAAGCGGGGGAUCGCAAGACCUCGCGCUAUAGGGGCGGCCGAUGGCGGAUUAGCUAGUUGGUGGGGUAAAGGCCCACCAAGGCGACGAUCCGUAGCUGGUCUGAGAGGACGACCAGCCACACUGGGACUGAGACACGGCCCAGACUCCUACGGGAGGCAGCAGUGGGGAAUUUUGGACAAUGGGCGCAAGCCUGAUCCAGCAAUGCCGCGUGUGUGAAGAAGGCCUUCGGGUUGUAAAGCACUUUUGUCCGGAAAGAAAUCCUCUGGGUUAAUACCCCGGGGGGAUGACGGUACCGGAAGAAUAAGCACCGGCUAACUACGUGCCAGCAGCCGCGGUAAUACGUAGGGUGCGAGCGUUAAUCGGAAUUACUGGGCGUAAAGCGUGCGCAGGCGGUGAUGUAAGACCGAUGUGAAAUCCCCGGGCUUAACCUGGGAACUGCAUUGGUGACUGCAUCGCUGGAGUAUGGCAGAGGGGGGUAGAAUUCACGUGUAGCAGUGAAAUGCGUAGAGAUGUGGAGGAAUACCGAUGGCGAAGGCAGCCCCCUGGGCCAAUACUGACGCUCAUGCACGAAAGCGUG